UGGGGAAUAUUGCGCAAUGGGGGAAACCCUGACGCAGCGACGCCGUGUGAGGGAAGAAGGCUUUCGGGUCGUAAACCUCUGUCAGGAAGGAAGAACCUCUCAAGGCUGAACAAGCCUUGGGACUGACGGUACUUCCAGAGGAAGCACCGGCUAACUCCGUGCCAGCAGCCGCGGUAAUACGGAGGGUGCAAGCGUUAAUCGGAAUCACUGGGCGUAAAGCGCGCGUAGGCCGUCUUUUAAGUCGGACGUGAAAGCCCUCGGCUCAACCGGGGAACUGCGUUCGAUACUGGGAGACGUGAGUCCUGGAGAGGGUGGCGGAAUUCCUGGUGUAGGAGUGAAAUCCGUAGAUAUCCGGAGGAACACCGGUGGCGAAGGCGGCCACCUGGACAGGUACUGACGCUGAGGCGCGAAAGCGUUGGGAGCAAACA
rnacentral:rRNA from 1 species